rnacentral:tRNA from 1 species
CAGGGAGACAACAAAAUGUUUAAUAUUAUUAUUUUGUCACCUUAGGUCGAUCGGUAUCUCACGUUCUUAAUUUAUUAAGAAUUUCAUUUCCUAAGUUUUUCUAGGUCACACCCAUUAUUUUUCCUGGGCCAUUAGCUCAGGUGGUUAGAGCGCACCCCUGAUAAGGGUGAGGUCCCUGGUUCAAGUCCAGGAUGGCCCAUAUCUCUAUGUUGGGGGUAUAGCUCAGUUGGUAGAGCGCCUGCUUUGCAAGCAGGAUGUCAGCGGUUCGAGUCCGCUUACCUCCACUGAUUACCACCUCUGGCAUAAUCUGUGUAAAGGAAAUGUUUUGAGUUGUGAUCAAAUUCUGAGCGAAUCUAGCUUCCUAAUGAAAUCAUUAAGAUGCUGGACUCAUUGAAUUAAUUUCAUUGUUUUCAGAGAACCUUGACAACUGCAUAGAUUAUUUUUAAAGACAAUAAGCAUCUUUAAUGAUGCAGAUUUAUUAUUUGUGCGAAUGCAUUAAUAACAAUUCUAUUAAGCUGAUGCUUCAA